rnacentral:rRNA from 1 species
GCGGUGGAUGAUGUGGUUAAUUCGAUGCAACGCGAAAACCUUACCCACCUUGACAUGGCAGGAAUCCCGAAGAGAUUUGGGAGUGCUCGAACGAGAACCUGCACACAGGUGCUGCAUGGCUGUCGCAGCUCGUGUCGUGAGAUGUUGGGUUAAGUCCCGCAACGAGCGCAACCCUUGCCAUUAGUUGCUACGAAAGGGCACUCUAAUGGGACUGCCGGUGACAAACCGGAGGAAGGUGGGGAUGACGUCAAGUCCUCAUGGCCCUUAUAGGUGGGGCUACACACGUCAUACAAUGGCCGGUACAGAGGGUAGCCAACCCGCGAGGGGGGAGCCAAUCCCACAAAGCCGGUCGUAGUCCGGAUCGCAGUCUGCAACUCGACUGCGUGAAGUCGGAAUCGCUAGUAAUCGCGGAUCAGCAUGUCGCGGUGAAUACGUUCCCGGGUCUU